UACGUAGGGUGCAAGCGUUGUCCGGAAUUAUUGGGCGUAAAGAGCUCGUAGGCGGUUUGUUGCGUCGGCUGUGAAAUCCCGAGGCUCAACCUCGGGUCUGCAGUCGAUACGAGCAAACUAGAGUGUUGCAGGGGAGAAUGGAAUUCCUGGUGUAGCGGUGGAAUGCGCAGAUAUCAGGAGGAACACCGAUGGCGAAGGCAGUUCUCUGGGCCGUAACUGACGCUGAGGAGCGAAAGUGUGGGGAGCGAACAGG
rnacentral:rRNA from 1 species